UCGAUCUGCUAUGCAAGGAAGGAGAUAAGCUAUGGCUAUUGGCUUGUUGUUCUUGCGGAUUUGGGAGGGAAUCCUGGUUGCUUCUUUGUUGUGCAAAUGAAACAGAGAAAGUAGAUGCCGUCUUUUUCAGAUUUAGGGAGGAUUAGGCUUUGGUUACUUCCUGUGUAGAGAGGACAGAGAUGAGAGCUGCUUCCUGGCAGCGCGGAGGCUAGCAGUUACCAGGUUCAUGGAAUCAAUCAGAGAUAAGCUCUCUGCGCGGCAACAAAAACGAUAGCAAGGCCCAACAACCAAAUCUACAAAGGCGAGGCCCAAAAAAUCACACAGCCAGACAGAGAGUGGCCGCCCCGGCUGCUGCGCGGAAGCAACCGGCGGCGACUGCCGGCGCGAGCCGCUCAGAUCGGGUAGCAACGGCGAGCGGGCGUACACUACACGCGUGCGGCGGCAGCGCUGGCGCCGGAAGCAAACUGAACGGCGAUGCACCCACUGACGCACGCUGAAGCCUGAAGCGCGCAUGGUGCUUCACAAAAUGGGCCCCGUGACGUGGUGAGGGGCUUACAACGGCAGGUGGCGGAAGGCGGCGCGGUGGCUCAGGCAUGCUCACGGCCUCUGCUCACUGCCUCACCGGCGCCGUAGGCUGCUUCCUCCUGGGUGCCGGGCAUCCGGGCAACGUGCGCGGGCACGAGCUGUUCGACGUAAUGGCUCGCCGCCGCGUCAAGCGCCGCCUGUGCCGGGGUCAGCUGAAGAGAAAACAAGUUGUUGAAGGUAAAAAUUCAAUUUUGCAUACUCCAAUAUGGCUUCGUUUCGUGUAGCCUCUUUUUCAUAAAUGGGUAUGUAAUUUCUUGCUUCUAAUAUUCCAACCCUUCGAAAAAGAGGUGUGUGAAGAGAAGAAGACACCUCCUUUGCGAAUGGUGAUUCUGAAUGUUCAACUAUAUCUUGAAGGCAACAUCUAGUGAAAGAGAUUGCUUCAUCCAGUACCUUAUCUCCAUGUCUCCUCAAAUAUGCUGCAUUAUAUAAGCUUAACAAACUUCUUGUGUCAGCAAUGGCAAAGUUCCCAUCUUGUAUUUUAAAAUUUAGGAAUACAUCUGUAAAAUAUAGAUGCAUAGUGAAAGUUAGCUAUUUUCCAUUUACUUUUUUUUAAAAAAAAUUGACAAGUCAGUUCUAGCGAGAAAGUCUUACCUGAUGACACAUCGUAAUUGUUCUUUCUUAGAAGGUAAAACCGCAGUGAAACUAAGUUUAGAUCCUUAUCAUUGUAAUCUAAGUUGUGAAUAUCUUGCAGUAACUUGUCUAUCUCAUUCUCGUAGUAGUAAUCUAGUCCAAGUCGUUGCAAUGUGAUUAUAAGAUCCAUUGUUUCCCGUAAAUCAGUUGAGCCAUUCACUAUCUUCCUAACAUCUUCUCUUAGCACCACAGCUCUUUCUUUCAUGUAUUCGUGCUGCAGAGAAGAAGUAUCAAGAAUUUCAUGACACUAUGACAGCAUGUCAGCAUGCAACGACGAAGCUUGUUCCUCAUCUUCAGUGGGAUGCCAUUGUUACCUGAGGCGCAGUUGGUGGCUGGUAUGUCAGGAAGAAAUCACCCCACAGGCUUGGGUGGAAGGUAGUAGCCUUCCGUAGCUCCUCUGCCUUUUGGUCAUGAUCUACAGAAGCAGGCGCCAUGUUCUCAAUUCCACUCUAGUUUAUAUUUUCUUGCAGAUGUUUCUGAUAGAUUUGUUAGUGCCUAUCUGUGUUGCAUUGCAUAGGUAUUUAUAGGCGAUGCAGACAUGAAGCCCAGCAACACAUACUUAUUUCUAAGCAAUUGUGCACAGUUAACACGAUCUCUGUGACGAUGACA